rnacentral:SRP_RNA from 2 species
UACUGGGUCUCUAGCGGCAAGGGCCGUCGAACCGUGUCAGGUCCGGAAGGAAGCAGCACUAAGGCGUUUCCCUUGGGUGACUAGAAUCACCUGGUAGCC